CACGCUGGACACAGCCUGUGCUCUGUCCUGCACACAGGUGCACGUGCACACGCGCCCACACGGGUCCCUUGCCCCGAUGUGGGUCUGCACUGCCUCAGUCACCUGUAACACACCCCAGGGACACACGGAUCCCAUCUGCUAAAAUUCUGGAAAGACCGACACGCGCUCGGCUUGGGCAGAGCUCCCUGCCCGUCUGUCGCACGUUCUCACCGCCCCGCAAGUCAGACACCGCACAUAUGUUGCGAGAGCAACUGUUACUCUUGUGCAUCCCAUCUAUAAAUAAACUACGUCAGACCCUCUGAAUAUUUUUAGAAAGUUUCGGGCGUCACAGCAGAAUCCGGCAUCUUGCCCGUUCAGAAGCUCUCCGCGCUUCAGAAAAACAAAACGCACCACAGAUUUCCACUGACAUUCUGGUAGUGUGAUCUCUAAAUAAUUCAGCAUUAAAAUCUGGUCAGCUCUCCCACCUCCCCGAAAAACUCCUGCAAACACAGUGCCAAUUAAGUUGCUGAAAACAGCAGAUUUCCACUGAUACGCUACAGAUAAAGCUGGCCAUUAAAUCCCCAUUUAAGGUCCGGGCAGCGGGAGCUGCCGACAGACUGCAAAGCUUGUAAUCUCAUUGAACCCCUCCUGUCAGGAGCGGGCCUUCCCCGUUAGCAUAAUGCCACCAAAUUAGACCUGGCAUGGCAACAAGAGAAAGAAAAACCUCUUUAGCUUAAAAGUCAGGCCACAGUGGGCAACCCUGACCUUCAGCCCCCGCUCACCCACUCCGUUCUCCAGGGACCCCGGAGACAUUUACCCCGAGAAAGGAAGAGAGAAGGACAGAGGAGGUGGCCCCCCCACCCCCCGCCCCCGGCCGCCAGGGCUUGGAUUUCCCUGGGGGCAAAUUACAGAGAAUUUUCCUAGACAAUGGAAGGAAAUUUCACCUGGGCUUUUUCAAGUCUUUCUUUGGUAAUAAAAGAUGAACCCCGAUGGCUCUGUUCAAACUCUUUUGGCUCAAUAUUUCUCUUUGCCUGCAGUGGCCUCUGACUUCGAAGCCAGGGGACGCCUCUGUGGGAGCACAGAGUCCCCCACUCCGUGCCUGAGACGGCGCGCAUUUUCAAUGAGGUCAUCCUGGCUGGGGGCUGGCGCCUUCAAAGCUGCCGCCUGGAACUGGCAUUUACUGGCGCUCUGUUUUCAUAAGGAAAUCAGCGCCUCUGACAGCAAGCGCUCUCCCUCUUUCCCACCGAUCCCGCUCAUUUUGUUGAGUGGGUGGCAGCAGAAGGGGUGUGGGGACCGUGGGGUCCCCGCACAGACGCCGAAGGACACUUUGACAACAGCAGCGCCCACUCGGCCGGAUCAAACCGGAGCGACUUUUAGAGACAGAGCCUCGGGAAGGAUCGGAAGCCGCAAUGCCGGUGUGCAUCCUGGUUCAAAGGACAUUGGUCUUUUUUCAAAAAUAACCAGUUAGCAAUUUAAAAGAGCUUUCUCCCCAAGUGAAAAGUAAUGGUUUUGUUCUUUUGUUCCCCUGAAAAAAUAAAAAUGGUUUCAGGCCAAAAGUUAGAGGAUUAUGUUCCAAAGUUGGCGUUCAUGUCUCCAGGAAGCUUCGGACCAGGAGAGACCAGACACGGUUCCUCCCUCAGAAGUCCUAUGUCCCACUCUUCCUUUGCCUGCAUUUCAAACAUCUGUGAUUGCACAGACCAGAAGCUUCUAAAAGUCACGGCGGAGCUUAAGGGAGAGAAGGAGAGACAGAGACACAGACGCGGGGAGAGACAGAGAGAGGGAGAGAGAGAAAGACGGAGAGAGCGCUUCUCCUUCUGUGCCGGAGCCAUUCACUCGCCCCGCAGGAAGCAGUCAGCGAACGUCUGAAUCAAUUCCGCUUUGCGAAAAGGAGAGAAAAGCCGAGAUGCUUGCGAGGGGGAACCUUCUGGGCCUCCUGGAGCAGCGAGCACUCUGCCCCGCGGUGCCCCUGGCCUGCCCCUCGCCAGCGGGCUCCGGCCACCCAGGCGCCUCCUGUGACUCACCUGCUCCUGUUCCCAGGCCCACGCAGCAGGAAGGGACUCUCAGCGCUUCUAGAAGCCGCGGCCCUCUCCGCCGUGGACAUUACCUGCCGCGGAGGCCAGCUCUUGGGUGCUGCCAGCCCCCUCAAGUUCUGAAUCCUACCCCCCAUUUUUUUUUUUUUUUUUUUUUGGCUCCUCGACAGAAGUUAGCUGCAAUUGGUAGCAGAAACCGCCUCAGUGUUUCUUUCCACUUCCCAGGGCCGCAGUGGAUGGAUGAAGCCCCUGCCUGGCCGAGCCUUUCUGCAAUGGAGUGGUUUAUUUAAUUUGUCAGUAUAAUGGGAGCGGCUGAAUGAGAGACAGAGAAUGCACUGUGGUAUAAAAGAAACAAAGGCUAAAAGUACCACUAUUUUGAUUCCCUUUUUAAAAUUACUUCCAAAGUGUGGUAUCUAUUGUGAAGAAUAGUGCUGAACAAAGCACAGUGUCUUGGCAAUAUUCACAGGGGCUUAUUCACCCACAGCAAGCUCUGUCUGUACAUUCAGAGGUAGAAUACACUUAUAAAUGAUGUAUUGGAAGGACUGUAGCUCCCAUUGUGUCCCCAGUGUAAACAAAAAGGCAGACAGGAGCUGAAUGGCAUAUGGGCAGCGAGGCCACGCUGGAUGCAACCAUUCCCCCAGCCGUGGGGGGGGGGGGCACGCUGGGUCAGCUCAGGUGCCGCCCGGGGCGGGGGGCGCCCUGAUUCCUCCUCUUCAUCCCUCACCCCCGAUGUAGAUAGAUCUGCAGGGCUUUCCGGAAGGUUCGCUCAGGCAGCACAGGCUGGGGAUGCACCCUGCUGUCCACACUCUCAGGUAGAAGGGGCACCUUAGCCUUUCUACAACUUCCGGAAUGUUCCACGUAGAGGAUGCCAGUCUCCCUGUGGGUAGCAGUGGCUGUACGUCCCGCACACUUGACGGUGGCCUGCAGCGGGGACCAGCAGGGGAGCCGGGGUGGGAUUCUGCGGCCACGGUGAAGCUGUGCAUCCUGCCAGUCGGUGGGCUGGGUGGUUCGGCGUAACCUUUCGCGUGCAGCUGCUACGGAUUUCUCCAGUAAACGGCCCCCAGUGCACACGUGGGAAAACGGGCCUGCAGGUUACACGCUGUAAACUCCGACUUCCCGGGCCAAUCUGAGGAGGGAGCACGUUUUGAAUAUUGGUCUUCUUCUGGUGACACAUCUUCAGACACUCAUGCCAACAGGAAAAACAAUUUAGCAUUUUUGCUGUGACGGGGAAAGGCAGUGGACGUCUUGCCCGGAAGGUGCUGUGCUGGGAUUCUGGACACCUGCCUCAGAGAGCGUCCUCACGCUGGGUCUGCACACGCUCACCCCACGUGGGCCGUCCGUCCCCAUUCGAGGGAUGAGCUGCAGCUGGACACCUGACCAUGUGCCACUUGCAAGGAGCAUAUCUGGAAUUAUAUCAACUGAGGGAUUCGUGUUUUGCCAUGGAAGUUGCUGUUUUCCUGCGCAGAACGACCGCUGUGGUCGCGGGAAGAGAGGCACGGCCGGCACGCGGUCGUGCGUGUGCGCCACGGUGAACGUGAACCCAGAGCAGUGACGGACAGUGGGAACCCACGGCCGGCUCCUCCUCCCGCAGGCUCGUGCGGGCCUCAGGCGCAGAAUCCCCCACACUUCGCGUUUUCCAAACCAGCAUGCCGAGGCGCUCAGAGGUCGGGGGCUUUGCAAGACCACGAAGGCAUGCUUAGCGGGAAAUGUGCAGCCCCAGCCCUGCCUGUGCGUGGUGGGCAAUCUUCAGUUACUCCUUUUGGGUGGUCUGGCCCCACACUUGACUGUUUCGUUCCAAUUCUGUAAGCGAACGUGCCUUACUUUAGGCUGAAAGAUACCAACAGCUCAUACAUCCAGCUGUUUUGUCAGUAUUGUUUCCCGACACACAUUUCUAAAAAAUUUUAUCUCAUUACUGCAAGUUUGUACUUUUCGACCACCCUCACCAUUUCACUCCCCCUCCCUUCUGGCAAUCUAUCCUCUGUUUCUAUGAGUUCAGUUUUUUUUUAGAUGCCACAAAUAAGAAGUUAUAGAAUAUUUGUCUUUCUCUAUCUGAUUGAUCUCAUUUAGGAUAAUGUCCCCAGGGCCCAUCCGUGUUAUUGCAAAUGGCGGAACUUCCUGCUGAUUAAUAUUCCAUGGAUGUACACACCACACCUUCUUCAUCCAUUUGCCUGUCGGUGGGCACUGAGCCCGUCUCCGUGUCCCGGACAUUGCUCUCCUUCUUGACUGUUAUACAUUGCGGUCUCAACCAGGCAGAGGACGUCAGGCGUCUACCCGUCUCACUCCCAGAUUCUCACAUGUGAUGUGCAAGAAUCCACAUUUUCACAACGGACGUGCGCGUGGAGGGAUCUGAAAGUGUCUUCAAGAGCUCACAUAGCACGAUCACUUCAUGAUGUAUUUCCUGAGUUUCAUUUCACAUUAUUGGGCUCUGGGAUGUCUAGAUUUCUGAACAAGGAUUUGUUUCCCGAGGACAACUAACCAAAGGAGAAAUUCAUGUUAUUAGCUGAGCGCUGCCUGUUUCACUGGAUUAAAGAGCAAACCCAUUAAAAAAAAAAA